rnacentral:rRNA from 1 species
CCUACGGGUGGCAGCAGUGGGGGAUAUUGCACAAUGGGGGGAACCCUGAUGCAGCGACGCCGCGUGGGUGAAGAAGCGCCUCUGCGCGUAAAGCCCUGUCAGCAGGGAAGAAAAGGACGGUACCUGAAGAAGAAGCCCCGGCGAACGACGUGCCAGCAGCGGCGGUAAGACGUAGGGGGCAAGCGUUGUUCGGAAGGACUGGGCGGAAAGGGGGUGUAGGCGGUGUAGCAAGUUAGAAGUGAAUUACCUAGAGCUUAACGCAGGUGCGGCUGCUAAAACUGCUAUCCGUGAGUGCAGUAGAGGUAAGUGUCCUUCCUAGUGUAGCGGUGGCAUGCGUAGAUAUUAGGCGGAACAUCAGUUGCGACGGCGCCUUUCUGGACUGUAACUGCCGCUGCGGCACGACCGUGUGGGGAGCAAACAGGAUUCGAUACCCCAGUAGUC